AGUGAACGCUGGCGGUAGGCCUAACACAUGCAAGUCGAACGGCAGCACAGUAAGAGCUUGCUCUUACGGGUGGCGAGUGGCGGACGGGUGAGGAAUACAUCGGAAUCUACUUUUUCGUGGGGGAUAACGUAGGGAAACUUACGCUAAUACCGCAUACGACCUACGGGUGAAAGCAGGGGACCUUCGGACCUUGCGCGAUUGAAUGAGCCGAUGUCGGAUUAGCUAGUUGGCGGGGUAAAGGCCCACCAAGGCGACGAUCCGUAGCUGGUCUGAGAGGAUGAUCAGCCAAACUGGAACUUAGACAAGGUCCAGACUCCUACGGGAGGGAGCAGUGGGGAAUAUUGGACAAUGGGCGCAAGCCUGAUCCAGCCAUACCGCGUGGGUGAAGAAGGCCUUCGGGUUGUAAAGCCCUUUUGUUGGGAAAGAAAAGCAGCAGGUUAAUACCCCGCUGUUCUGACGGUACCCAAAGAAUAAGCACCGGCUAACUUCGUGC
rnacentral:rRNA from 1 species